UGCCCGUGAAGGGGACUCAAACUCCCCAGACAUUGGGCCAUGGUGAUGCUGGGGGUGGAGGGCGUGCUGACAUGCUGAUGACAGGUACAUGCCAGGGUGACCCCUGCUCACGGUCUGGCAGGCUGGGAGAAGGGAGUGGGGGGGGGAGCCCUCCUGUUUGUGGAGGAGAUGGGGAGGGGCUGAGGCCAGGAGAGCAUAGCAACCCACAGCCCCUCACCCCCUCUGUCCUUCAUCCUUCAGUUCUCUCAGUGAGAGGCUCUGGGGAGAGAUCUGGGGGUGCACACCUUUCCUACCCGUAAGUACAUGCGCACACAAUGAAUUUCAGUUCCCCAAGCCCUGCCCUUUCACUUCUCUUGGCUCCCCUCCCUGCUGCCUUGCAGGUUGUCAGCUUUGGAAGCAGAGGCCCAAGUCACCCCUGCUCAGAGAGCCUGGGGGGGAUAAAUGGAAGCCACCCACCCAGUAGCCAAGGAUCAGCUGAGCCCUGGGGCUAAUGCUUGCUCACACUGUUGAGAAUGGCACUGCGGCCCAGCCAGGCACCGGGACAAAGGUUAACCCGGGACACUCGUGGCCAGUGAUCCUGAUGUCUAUUCAGAGCCGCGCACUCAAGGGUGUGAUAAAUUGUUUUCUCAGUCUUGCCCAUGCUCUCUGCUGUACUCCGCCCCGAGUUUUCUUUGCCGGGCUGUCCCAUCUUUGUGUCACAGUCCUGUUUGUCAGCAGGAGAAAGAAGCAACAUCUCACGAGCUGCUGGUUCCUCUUGAUGCCAUUCUGACUGGGGCAGAACAGGAGUGUGAGCUGCCAUCCCGGCUGACGACACUGCCUCACAUCCCCGUCCCUGUCCUCACCCCUGCCUUCUGGCCCGGCCAGGACUUCCAGCUUUCCCCAUUCAUCUUCCGUGGACCAAUCUUGGCACAACCUCUCAGACGUGGCCUGACCUCACCUAGGUAUGCAUUUUUCUCCCGCCCCCAACCUACCUGUAUUCUUCCAGGCAUGGAAGAGUCUAAAAAUGGAAUCCAGGUCUUGGGCUCACCCUGUUCUCUCUCCACCACCAUCCUCUUACCCUUUGACAGCUACUCCUUUAAUCUUGCUUCUGCUCCCUAGGGUUUGGGGGGGUCCAUCUCUUCCAUGUCACCUGCUUCAGGGUGGGGGUGGGGGCUGCAGCCUCUGAUGUGUAACUGGCCAGGAAGCCAUUCUUGGCUGCCACAAAAGAUGAGACCAAGAGGCAACGAGAGCAGGGUCUUAAAAUCAGCAUCAAGAUGGGGACUGAGCUGAGUGAUGUCUCCACCAGUUACAUGAGGCUGCUGAAGGACACAUCUGAAGAAGCCCCUUCCUUGGGGCUGUCCUGUGGGACAGAGGGGCC
rnacentral:lncRNA from 1 species